rnacentral:rRNA from 1 species
CAGUCGAGCGGACAGAUGGGAGCUUGCUCCCUGAUGUUAGCGGCGGACGGGUGAGUAACACGUGGGUAACCUGCCUGUAAGACUGGGAUAACUCCGGGAAACCGGGGCUAAUACCGGAUGCUUGUUUGAACCGCAUGGUUCAAACAUAAAAGGUGGCUUCGGCUACCACUUACAGAUGGACCCGCGGCGCAUUAGCUAGUUGGUGAGGUAAUGGCUCACCAAGGCAACGAUGCGUAGCCGACCUGAGAGGGUGAUCGGCCACACUGGGACUGAGACACGGCCCAGACUCCUACGGGAGGCAGCAGUAGGGAAUCUUCCGCAAUGGACGAAAGUCUGACGGAGCAACGCCGCGUGAGUGAUGAAGGUUUUCGGAUCGUAAAGCUCUGUUGUUAGGGAAGAACAAGUACCGUUCGAAUAGGGCGGUACCUUGACGGUACCUAACCAGAAAGCCACGGCUAACUACGUGCCAGCAGCCGCGGUAAUACGUAGGUGGCAAGCGUUGUCCGGAAUUAUUGGGCGUAAAGGGCUCGCAGGCGGUUUCUUAAGUCUGAUGUGAAAGCCCCCGGCUCAACCGGGGAGGGUCAUUGGAAACUGGGGAACUUGAGUGCAGAAGAGGAGAGUGGAAUUCCACGUGUAGCGGUGAAAUGCGUAGAGAUGUGGAGGAACACCAGUGGCGAAGGCGACUCUCUGGUCUGUAACUGACGCUGAGGAGCGAAAGCGUGGGGAGCGAACAGGAUUAGAUACCCUGGUAGUCCACGCCGUAAACGAUGAGUGCUAAGU